GUUUCUGGCUUCAGACAUCUUCUGAGGGCCAGUGGGCACCAGGCACACAGUAGGAGCUUGGUAGAUGGCUGAGGAAUGGCAGGAGCUCAGCCCAGUGUUCAGCCCCAGUGGGGCCUGAGAGGGCCCAAGCACGGUAACCACAGGAGGAGCUCCUUCCCUGUACCCCACCACAGGGAGCCGGCUGGGGAACACAAACUUGGUUUUCCAGUUUUUCCCAGAGCCAGCUGCUCUGUACCUGAGAAGUCAGUGCUUCCCGGAUCCCAGUCAGCAUGGGCUUUUCUCCUAGGCCCUGAGCUUACGUCCAGAAACAUUCUCCUGGGGUUUAUCUGCCCCCACAACCAGCCCAGUACUGGAAGCUCUGACUUCCUCAUCAAGGAUCACAAGGGGAAAAUGACCUGUGGGGUAGGGGGAAGAGGCCAGAGCCUUCAUCACUCUGCCUGCCGCUGGCAUCCUGUGGGGGCCUAGCUAGCUGGGGUCACCUCCCUCUUCCCCACACAGAGCUGGCAGGACAGCUGGUUUAUCCUUCUUCAGCCACAGCCUGCAGAAAGCACGUUCCCCUCGGAGCCCCGGGCCACUAGCCAGUCCACUGGGGACAUCCCUCAGAGAGGGGAGGGGAGGGAGAGACAGGGCGGACACCCAGGCUGGCACACUGUGGCCAGCCACCCGGCUCCACUGACUGGCGGUUUCGUGUCUGGCUCCCUGAGGUCCAGAUGGUCCCAACACGUCCCUGGGGGGUAAGCAGACUCCUGCCCAAACUUGAACUCACAGCUCCAGCCCCCAGAGGCUCCGAGCCAGGACCCCAAAGGAGGGAGGAGGAAGUCCCAUGAAGAAAUAAAGAACAUGUGGUGAAUCACAGAGAAGUGGCUGAAAAGAUUCAAGCCUCAACCUUGGUCCUCCCUAGUCACAUGACCACAGGCAAACCUCUUCUCUCUCAGCCUCAGUUUUUGCAUCAGUGCAAUAGGAAUGGUAUCUGCCAUGCUAACCUCACAGGACUGCUGUGUGUUCAGAUGAAUCAGCACUAUUCACAACAGCAAAGACUUGGAACCAAC
rnacentral:lncRNA from 1 species